ensembl:lncRNA MIR31HG MIR31 host gene
AGGUGUGGAUGGGGCGAAGGUGCGGGAACGUCCACUCCCGCGCGCCCCUCUCGGGGACCAGGGCGGCCUCCCAGGAGGAGCUUGGUGAGCAGCUGCGACCUGUGCAUAACUUGGGGCGCCGCCAGGGGCUCGCAGGUUCCACGUCCGGCGCCUGGAGAAGGAAGACGCGCGUCCCCGGCCGCGGCGCCGAAGCCGGCUGGGGGACCGCCUGGUCCCGGGCCAGAGCUGGGAGGCGGUGUUCCGUGAGCCGCCUGGUCUGGGGUGCGGGGGGCGGGAAGCGGCCCCUUCGUGUGCGCUUGGGCGAGGCCGGGCGGCGCUUCUGUCCUCCUACUCGGACCCGCAGGUUUCUGGUCCUCAUACCGUGUGGUUGAGUGAAAUCAAAACUUCCACGAUAGCAAUGCUGAUUGGACAAAGAAUGUGUUGUGGACACAAAACCAAACUCUGGAGGACAGAGGAUUCAUUCCAAGGGUCUGCUUGUAUUCAAUGACUGGUCUACGUGGGGGUGUGAAGUCCCCUUACUCCACCUGUGAAGAGUCUUCCCAGUUUCAGACCACCCUCCCAGCCUCCUGUUAUUGGCUAAGGCCAUUUUGUGACUACACUGCAGGUAGAGAUGGAUUCCUGGAAAUACCUCCUCAAGGCCAGUGUAGAGCCCUCAAUCACCCACUGCCCCCAGCUUCUCCUUCUCCCAUCUCCUGCACCAAGCAGGUCUCCAGGUGUUCCAGCUGCUGAUGACGUAAAGUGUGGAGUUGGUCCAGGAAGGUCAUGUUCCAUGCAGCAGAGGAGCGCUUUGUGUGAGAAGUUGAAGACCUGCUGUAACACAUCAUAGAGGAAAGACAUAGCCUGGGCCUUCUGCAACUGGCUGACUUCCACCUUCUCCUGGGGGAAUCUGAAGUCACUUCUGUCCUUUAGACACAAGAAGGGAGAGAUUCUCCUCAUUUGGCCCAAAAGCACCAAGGUGUUCCUGCCUAGCAGGCCAUGGUUCUGAGGUAGAGACAGAUUCUCUGGAAGUACCUUCUCAAGGCCAGUGUAGAGCUCCCAAUCACCCAGCAGAUUCUCCCUCUCCCACUGCCCGCACCAAGCAGGUCUCCAGGUGUUCCAGCUGCUGAUGAAGUCCAGUGUGGAGUUGGUCCAGGAGGGUCGUGUUCCAGGCAGCAGAGGAGCGCUCUGUGUGGAAGAGGCUGAAGAUCUGCUGCAGCAUCUCAUGGAGGACAGACAGGGCCUGGGCCUGCUGCAACUGGCUGUCAUACACAUCUCCAGGGGAAACCUGAAGUCUCUUCUGUCCUUGAGACACAAGAAAGGGGAGAUCCAUUUCAUUUGGCCCAGAAGCACCAACGUCUUCCUUCCUGUCAGACCAUGGUUCUGAGUCAGGUCACAUCCCAGAGAUCAAAAAGAGCCACAGCUGCACACAACUAGGACCACCACUAGAGAGUGAAGAUGGAGUCUCAGUCACCAGGCUGGAGUGCAGUGGCACAAUCUCAGCUCACUGCAACCUUCACCUCCUGGGUUCAAGCAAUUCCCCUGCCUCAGCCUCUCGAGUAGCUGGGACUACAGGUGCUCACCACCAUGCCUGGCUAAUUUUUUUUAUUUUAGUAGAGUCGGGGUUUCACCAUGUUGGCCAGGCUGGUCUCGAUCUCCUGAUCUCAUGAUCCACCUGCCUCGGCCUCCCAAAGUGCUGAGAUUAUAGGUUUGAGCCACCAUGACUGGCCGAAUUUUUGUAACUUCUUUUCACAUAGUGGUUUACUGGGUAAGGUGUAUCUUGCUUCUCCUACAUGAUAUUCUUAUUUAUGAUGAAUUAAAACAAAUAAAGAAAAGUAAAAGAAAGGCAAAGGAACCAUAUUGUUCUUCUCCAUAAUUUUCAAGAUUUCAGAUUUUUUGUCUCUCAUUUCAACUUUCCUAGAAAGCAAACCUCAACAAUUGCUUAUAUAUUAAAAACAAAACAAAUAUAAGCCUGAAUAUCAGGAAGUAAGAGAAGUGACUUUCUGCUGACAAAAUAGCAAAACAUAUGUUAGCAAAAUUCAGUGCAGCAAAAUUAGAGACUAGGGACUCUGUCCCAGGGGAAGGAUGAAUGUCAUUGUUGAGGUACACAAAAGCAAGGGAAACGGCUGCUUCUGCCAGAGCCUCACAGAAGAGCAACUCCUGGGUCAAUGGAUUGUCCUCAGCUUUGCAAGACCAGCCACCUGCUCUUCUUUCAUUGAAUGCAGAUGUUAUCACCUCUGAGGUAAGAAAGGAGGAGUCACACCAACCAACUCACAGUAGACUGGCAACAAGACCCCAGUUGCUAGAACACUAGUCCUCUCUGGCAUGAUAAUGAAUAUUAGCCUUGCCUUAGCACCGUACCUAGUUAAAAAAUCCACCCAGGAAAUGAAAAGAUGGCAUUUAGAAACCUGCAAAGAAACAGAAUUUGAUUUCCCAAAAGAUUCUGCUCCUAGUUGUGUUAUAACAAUGGUGAUUUUUUUAAAAGAUAACACCAAAAUUAUUGCAUUAUAACUAUAGGCCUGUGAC